CCCUUAGAUGUCCUGGGCCGCACGCGCGCUACACUGAACGGAUCAGCGCGUUUUCCCUUCCCGAGAGGGACGGGUAACCUGCUGAACCCCGUUCGUGGUAGGGAUCGGGGCUUGCAAUUAUUCCCCGUGAACCAGGAAUGCCCAGUAAGUGCAAGUCAUAAGCUUGCGUUGAUUACGUCCCUGCCCUUUGUACACACCGCCCGUCGCUACUACCGAUUGAACGUUUUAGUGAGGUACUCGGACUGAGCCUCAGAAGAUUCACGUCUUUUUUGCUGCUCGGGAAGAUUCCCAAACUUGAGCGUUUAGAGGAAGUAAAAGUCGUANCA
rnacentral:rRNA from 1 species